UUUUGUCAAUGUCUAUUGUUUCCAAAUUAUUUUAUUAUGACACAGCAAACAAGAUAGAUAUGCUGGAUUUCAUAUCACAAAAUCACAAGUCGAACACUUCCCAAGUGUCUAGGACUGUGUGAUGUAUUUUCGGAUGAUACGUGCAGAUCCC
rnacentral:lncRNA from 11 species